UACAGGGGGUGCAAACGCUGCUCGGAAUCAUUGGGCGUAAAGCGCACGUAGGCGGUUCGUUAUGUCGGAUGUGAAAGCCCUUGGCUUAACCGAGGAAGUGCAUCCGAAACUGGCGAGCUAGAGUACGAAAGAGGAUCGCGGAAUUCCCGGUGUAGAGGUGAAAUUCGUAGAUAUCGGGAGGAACACCGGUGGCGAAGGCGGCGAUCUGGGUCGAUACUGACGCUGAGGUGCGAAAGCGUGGGGAGCAAACAGG
rnacentral:rRNA from 1 species